rnacentral:rRNA from 1 species
CGGGUGAGUAACGCGUGGGUAACCUGCCUCAUACAGGGGGAUAACAGUUAGAAAUGACUGCUAAUACCGCAUAAGCGCACAAAAUCGCAUGGUUUGGUGUGAAAAACUGAGGUGGUAUGAGAUGGACCCGCGUCUGAUUAGCUAGUUGGAGAGGUAACGGCUCACCAAGGCAACGAUCAGUAGCCGACCUGAGAGGGUGACCGGCCACAUUGGGACUGAGACACGGCCCAAACUCCUACGGGAGGCAGCAG